rnacentral:ncRNA from 1 species
AGUAAAACGUUGAAUAGAAGAGUAGUUCAUUUUAAUUUAGAAGAGAAUUUGCGGUCGCUGUGAGCAAAUAGUUAAAUUGUACGAAACACAUCUAUGAGUAUAAAGCUGAACAAAGUAAGCUUUAUCGGAAGUGUCCGUUAUCACAUAACAGUCUUUGACUUAUUGAGAUGCUACUAGUGAUAGUAGCAUAACAAAGAGGUGGAACCGCGAUGAAACGCCCUCUAA